rnacentral:lncRNA from 1 species
AGUCAUAUCACCAUAGACUAGGUGUGAAAACUCCAUUUCUUUCAAAUGCCGAAGGUGUGCUAUGAGGUACUCUGCAUUGAAUGCCGUCAGAAACUGUUCUAAGUGACUAGAAUGGGAAGGGUGUCUACUUGAGCUGCCAAUAGCGACCUGCCUCUCCCACGAGCAUGUAGGUGUUAAGUAUCACCUUUUGUUCAGGAACCACCCUAAGAGUCACGAAGGCCUUCUUUGUCUCAGCUAACUAAUAGUCAACAUUUUCAAAAGAGGAUGCCUCUGAAAAAAUAUAUAAAUGUCUUUUAUACCUUUCAAUGUAGUCUGGGUGCAUCAUUGAUGGAACCAAGUCCUGUGGAAGAAGGACUGGAUUGUGCUGGGGAGAGGCCGGGUGGCCCUAUGGCUACACCUGAUUGUAUGGUGAGGGCACCAAAUUAUACUGU